GGGGCUGUAGCUCCGUGGUAGAGCGCUUGCCUAGCAUGAAUGAGGCACUGGGUUUGACCCUCUGCACCA
rnacentral:tRNA from 1 species